rnacentral:tRNA from 1 species
CAGAACGUAGCGAAGUCUGGUAUCGCGCCAGUUCGGGGGACUGGAGAUCGCCGGUUCGAUUCCGGCCGUUCUGA